rnacentral:rRNA from 1 species
AUACGGAGGGUGCAAGCGUUACUCGGAAUCACUGGGCGUAAAGGACGCGUAGGCGGCGUCAUAAGUCAGGUGUGAAAGCCCACGGCUCAACCGUGGAACUGCACUUGAAACUGUGAUGCUAGAGUCUGGGAGAGGCAGAUGGAAUUGGUGGUGUAGGGGUAAAAUCCGUAGAGAUCACCAGGAAUACCGAUGGCGAAGGCGAUCUGCUGGAACAGUACUGACGCUGAGGCGUGAAAGCGUGGGGAGCAAACAGGAUUAGAUACCCUAGUAGUCC